GGCGUCGGGGUGGGGAAGGGAGGCGAGGGGUGGGCGGGGAGGGAGGCGAGGCGGAGGGGGAGGGAGGCGAGGCGGCGGGGGAGGGAGGAAGAGAACUCUCGCAGCCCGAGGGGCUGGGCGCACUGCACCGGGAGGCACCCUGCGGAACAGGUGCACCCCGGGGGUCCGUGCUGGGGCCGGACCUGGAAUUUUCCCGUGUUCUCGCCGUCCUCCUCCUCUGGACUCCAUAGGCUUUUGCCCGCCCUCCCUCCCAGCGCUGCCCGCAUCACCCCUGCCUGGCUGGCUUCACCUCUCGGGGGCACCGACGCCGCGCACGCCUCCGCGUGCAGCCCGAAGCCCUUUCAGGUCCCGCUGGGCCAUCUCCUCGCCCGCCUGACGCCUUCUUGGCUGAACGGUCUUGCGGGCGCCUCGAACCCCGCACGGCCGGGGACAGAGCCGCGUCCCCUGUGCCGUCUCCUGCGCCCCCUCUCACGGCGGGGAGCUCAGCCCCGCGGGGUCCCUGGACGCGGCGCUGACCCGGGCAGGGGCUGCUGGAGGCUGCGCAGUCCCGGAGCUGCCCCGGCCUCGGCUCUUUCCGCCCGCCCGGGCCGAGCCCACCCCGCGGAAAGCGGCCUCGGAGGGUCGCAGGCGUUCGCCGGGCGGCGCAAAGGCAGCGACAGUCCAAGGACCUGCGGGACGCCCGGCGCCCGCCACAGCCAGCAGCGCCCCGCCCCGCACCGCGCAGCCCCGGCGACCCGCAGAGGGCCGGGCCCACCAGCCCCACCCCGGGACCCCGGACCCCGGAGCGCCCAGAACCGCGCAGCGCCGCCAGCCCCGACCGCAGGGCGCCGACUCCACAGCCCCGGGACGCACACCACACACAGCCCAUACACACACCCAGUACACACCACACACACACACCACACACCACACACCAUACACACACCCAGUGCACAUCACACACCACACACCACACACAACCCACAUACACACACACACCCAGUACACACCACACACACACACCACACACCAUACACACACCCAGUACACACACCACACACUACACCAUACACACACCCAGUACACACACCACACACUCACACACCAUACACACACCCAGUACACACACACCACACACUACACACCACAAUAAUAAUAACCAGCACACACACCACACACCACGCAUCACACAGCCCACAUACACACACCCAGUACACACCACAAUAA
rnacentral:lncRNA from 1 species